GAAAAAAGAAAAAAAAAGAGAGUGACGGUGACGGUGACAGUGAGUGACUCACUCCGCCAACCACGCCGCCGCCGCGGUCGCCGCUAUAGCGUUCAUACAAGCCUCCAGUUGCCUCCACCGCCGCUGGUCGCUGCAGCCUCCAGCCUCCAGCCUCCAUCCCGAAUCCCGAUCUGCUUUAAAACUGAAGAGUGGAGAAGAUAGAAAAGAAAGAAAGAAAUUGACGCAGAGGCAGGCGGGUUUGUGAAAGGCUGUUAGCAAGGCGUACACAAUCGCAUGUCUGAUAUUGGUCAAAUACAAAUAACAAAAUGGUGCUUUCGGAGAAGAAUCAGGAAAUUGAAGACGAGAAGAAGAAGAAG